ACGGGUGAGUAACGCGUGGGAAUCUACCGUACCCUACGGAAUAGCUCUGGGAAACUGGAAGUAAUACCGUAUACGCCCUAACGGGGAAAGAUUUAUCGGGGUAUGAUGAGCCCGCGUUGGAUUAGCUAGUUGGUGGGGUAAAGGCCUACCAAGGCGACGAUCCAUAGCUGGUCUGAGAGGAUGAUCAGCCACAUUGGGACUGAGACACGGCCCAAACUCCUACGGGAGGCAGCAGUGGGGAAUAUUGGACAAUGGGGGCAACCCUGAUCCAGCCAUGCCGCGUGAGUGAUGAAGGUCUUAGGAUUGUAAAGCUCUUUCAACGGUGAAGAUAAUGACGGUAACCGUAGAAGAAGCCCCGGCUAACUUCGUGCCAGCAGCCGCGGUAAUACGAAGGGGGCUAGCGUUGUUCGGAAUUACUGGGCGUAAAGCGCACGUAGGCGGGUAUUUAAGUCAGGGGUGAAAUCCCGCAGCUCAACUGCGGAACUGCCUUUGAUACUGGGUAUCUUGAGUAUGGAAGAGGUGAGUGGAAUUGCGAGU
rnacentral:rRNA from 1 species